rnacentral:rRNA from 1 species
GAGGGCAUUACUGAGUUUACGCUCUACAACCCUUUGUGAACAUACCUACAACUGUUGCUUCGGCGGGUAGGGUCUCCGCGACCCUCCCGGCCUCCCGCCUCCGGGCGGGUCGGCGCCCGCCGGAGGAUAACCAAACUCUGAUUUAACGACGUUUCUUCUGAGUGGUACAAGCAAAUAAUCAAAACUUUUAACAACGGAUCUCUUGGUUCUGGCAUCGAUGAAGAACGCAGCGAAAUGCGAUAAGUAAUGUGAAUUGCAGAAUUCAGUGAAUCAUCGAAUCUUUGAACGCACAUUGCGCCCGCCAGCAUUCUGGCGGGCAUGCCUGUUCGAGCGUCAUUUCAACCCUCAAGCUCUGCUUGGUGUUGGGGCCCUACAGCCGAUGUAGGCCCUCAAAGGUAGUGGCGGACCCUCCCGGAGCCUCCUUUGCGUAGUAACUUUACGUCUCGCACUGGGAUCCGGAGGGACUCUUGCCGUAAAACCCCCCAAUUUUCCAAAGGUUGACCUCGGAUCAGGUAGGAAUACCCGCUGAACUUAAGCAUAUCAAUAAGGCCGGAGGAA